rnacentral:tRNA from 1 species
GAGGGUAUAGCUCAGUGGUAGAGCACAUGCUUAGCAUGCACAAGGUCCUAGGUUCAAUCCCCAGUAUCUCCA